AAUAAUAAAAAAACAGAUUCGUAUAAUCCCUAUAAUAUGGCUAGGGAGUUUCUACCAAGAACCUAUAAUUCUUGAUUACGAAGAAAGAGUCU
rnacentral:ncRNA from 1 species